rnacentral:rRNA from 1 species
GAUCAAGCGUCUUAAGGGCAUUUCGUGGAUGCCUUGGCACUGAGAGGCGAUGAAGGACGUAGCACGCUGCGAUAAGCUACGGGGAGCCGCGAGCAGGCUUUGAUCCGUGGAUUUCCGAAUGGGGAAACCCCACCUUCGGGUGAUCCCGACCUGAAUACAUAGGGUCGGGAGGCGAACCUGGCGAACUGAAACAUCUAAGUAGCCAGAGGAAAGGACAUCAACCGAGACUCCGCUAGUAGUGGCGAGCGAACGCGGACCAGGCCAGUGGCCUUGCAUGUGUAACCGGAACCGUCUGGAAAGUCGGGCCAUAGCGGGUGAUAGCCCCGUACGGGUGGAAGCAUGUAAGGUCCUUGAGUAGGGCGGGACACGUGAAAUCCUGUCUGAACAUGGGGGGACCACCCUCCAAGCCUAAGUACUCCUCAGUGACCGAUAGUGCACAAGUACCGUGAGGGAAAGGUGAAAAGCACCCCGACGAGGGGAGUGAAAGAGUUCCUGAAACGGAAUGCCUACAAACAGUGGGAGCUUCCUUGUGAAGUGACCGCGUACCUUUUGUAUAAUGGGUCAGCGACUUAGUGUAUGCAGCAAGCUUAAGCCGGUAGGUGUAGGCGCAGCGAAAGCGAGUCUGAACAGGGCGUCAAGUUGCAUGCAUUAGACCCGAAACCGGGUGAUCUAGCCAUGGGCAGGUUGAAGGUGGGGUAACACCCACUGGAGGACCGAACUCACGUCUGUUGAAAAAGACGGGGAUGACCUGUGGCUAGGGGUGAAAGGCUAAUCAAACUCGGAAAUAGCUGGUUCUCCGCGAAAACUAUUUAGGUAGUGCGUCGUGUAUUACCGCCGGGGGUAGAGCACUGGAUGGGCUAGGGGUUCCCAAAGAGCUACCAAACCUAACCAAACUCCGAAUACCGGUGAGUAGAGCACGGCAGACAGACGGCGGGUGCUAAGGUCCGUCGUCGAGAGGGAAACAGCCCAGACCGCCAGCUAAGGUCCCCAAAUCAUGGCUAAGUGGGAAAGGAUGUGGGAAGGCCAAAACAACCAGGAGGUUGGCUUAGAAGCAGCCAUCCUUUAAAGAAAGCGUAAUAGCUCACUGGUCUAACAGCCGUCCUGCGCCGAAGAUGUACCGGGGCUCAAGCCAUGUACCGAAGCUGCGGAUGUGGAGCAAUCCACGUGGUAGCGGAGCGUUCCGUAAGCCUGCGAAGGGUCCCCGCGAGGGUGCCUGGAGGUAUCGGAAGUGAGAAUGCUGACAUGAGUAGCGACAAACAGUGUGAGAAACACUGUCGCCGAAAGUCCAAGGGUUCCUGCGCAAGGCUAAUCCGCGCAGGGUGAGCCGGCCCCUAAGGCGAGGGCGAAAGCCGUAGUCGAUGGGAACCAGGUUAAUAUUCCUGGGCCUGCUGGACGUGACGACCCCUUUAAAUUGUCUUCCCUUAUCGGAUUGGUGAGGGCAGUGACGGGGGUCCGGGAAAUAACGCCAGCGCAUAGACCGUACCCGAAACCGACACAGGUGGACUGGUAGAGUAUACCAAGGCGCUUGAGAGAACGAUGUUGAAGGAACUAGGCAAAAUGACCCCGUAACUUCGGGAAAAGGGGUACCCGUUCCUGGGCAACCAGGGGCGGGUGGCACAGACCAGGGGGUGGCGACUGUUUACUAAAAACACAGGGCUCUGCGAAGUCGCAAGACGACGUAUAGGGUCUGACGCCUGCCCGGUGCCGGAAGGUUAAAAGGAGGGGUGCAAGCUCCGAAUUGAAGCCCCGGUAAACGGCGGCCGUAACUAUAACGGUCCUAAGGUAGCGAAAUUCCUUGUCGGGUAAGUUCCGACCUGCACGAAUGGCGUAACGA